UGUUGAUUCAUUUCUCAGCCUUAAAUUCUUCUUGCUACAGGGGUCCCAAGAUUGUUUGAAGCCGUUGAAGCCUUCUACUUGGGGUUGAUGUUAAAUAUGAAGAGAUAAUUGAAGCAACUUCAAUUGACUCCAGCAAAGUCUUACGGUCCUGCACUGCUCAGUGUAGGACCUAUUUGCUAUAGAGAGAAGAAGAUUUGUGGAGAAGGAGAUUGACACAAAGAAGAACAUAGCUAUCAAUGAAUGAAUGAAGCAAAGAAGAAUACCAAUGCGGUUGAACUUAUGAAGCAAAAACUGACAUAGUAAGAUAGUUCCAAAGGCAGCAAUAAAUUUUUGUACAAGCUUCAUUCAUUUUGGUAACAUUCAUGAGAAAAAAUAAAAUGUAACUUAGGCUUUUGUAUAAGCUUCAUUUCCUUUUGUACAGUUUUUGU